GUAGGUGGCAAGCGUUGUCCGGAAUUAUUGGGCGUAAAGCACGCGCAGGGCGGUUCUUUAAGUCUGAUGUGAAAGCCCACGGCUCAACCGUGGAGGGUCAUUGGAAACUGGGGAACUUGAGUACAGAAGAGGAAAGCGGAAUUCCACGUGUAGCGGUGAAAUGCGUAGAGAUGUGGAGGAACACCAGUGGCGAAGGCGGCUUUCUGGUCUGUAACUGACGCCGAGGCGCGAAAGCGUGGGGAGCAAACAGGAUUAGAUACCCUGGUAGUCCACGCCGUAAACGAUGAGUGCUAAGUGUUAGGGGGUUUCCGCCCCUUAGUGCUGCAGCUAACGCAUUAAGCACUCCGCCUGGGGAGUACGGCCGCAAGGCUG
rnacentral:rRNA from 1 species